rnacentral:rRNA from 1 species
AGAGAGAGACAUGCGCGCAUAUCAAUAAGCGGAGGAAAAGAAACUAACAAGGAUUCCCUUAGUAACGGCGAGUGAAGCGGGAAGAGCUCAAAUUUGAAAUCUUCAAGGUUUUACCUUGACGAAUUGUAGUUUAAAGAAGUGUUUUCUGCUGAAGUUUUGGUAAAAGUUCUUUGGAAUAGGACAUCAUAGAGGGUGAGAAUCCCGUAUUUGACCAUUAUUUUCAGCUUUGUGAUACACUUUCAAAGAGUCGGAUUGUUUGGGAAUGCAGUCCAAAAUGGGUGGUAAAUUUCAUCUAAAGCUAAAUAUUGGCGAGAGACCGAUAGCAAACAAGUACCGUGAGGGAAAGAUGAAAAGAACUUUGAAAAGAGAGUUAAACAGUACGUGAAAUUGUCAAAAGGGAAGCGUUUGACACCAGUGUUGUUUUCUCGAAAAUCAAUUAAAAAUGGCUCGAUUUUGUAUUGUUGAGACCUUAAAAGCUCACUGUACAUUUUUCGUGUCUUUUUUAAUGCACUUUUCGUUUAACAAGUCAACAUCAGUUUCUUUUGUUGUAAAAGGGUCAUUGGAAGGUGGCUUUCUUUUCGGAGAAAGUGUUUAUAGCCUUUGGCCUCUGCAAUCGGAAGAGACUGAGGUCUGCAGCGUAGACUCUUCGGGGUUAGAUACAUUUGUGCUAAGUUAUAGCUUUUUAUAGACAACUUGUUGACUAUAAUUAGUCUUGUAGCUUACUCGCUUAUGCUAUUUUACCUACGCUUAGGAUGUUGAAGUCAUCGUAUCGCGC